UGUCGUUGUAUCUAGCCAGAUGGCCUGC
rnacentral:piRNA from 1 species